UUUUGAGAACGCGAAAAGCAAUGGAAGAGGUGGACGAGGGCGAUUUGAAAUUAAAAAGGGGAAAAAUUUGCAUUGAAAAAAGAUCGUCGAGUGUUUAUUUGUCCAUAAAUGAAUGGACUUCAGCAUUCAUGGUUUUUAUGAGUGUCUACAUUGAGAAAUACAGCACACGGGCACAGGAAUUGUUAAAAUACUGGGCCACCUAUGACGAGCAAUUUAGGCUAAAAAAAGAAAAGAAUCCAAAUUUAUCUUUGGGAAAUAUACACGGUGAAUAUUGGCUAUUACACAUCACAUCUCCCAUAGUACAAAACUGUGUGUCAGUGCAAUCAUAGGGUGAUAGAACAAAUACACAACAUCCGCUAAUCUGAUGAUAUAAAUUCCUAACUGUCAGUAUUAAUUAUAAGUCAAGUCAACUAUAAAAGUGAUAACGUAUAAUGUUAACAUAAUUUAACAAUCCUCCC
rnacentral:lncRNA from 1 species